rnacentral:rRNA from 1 species
AGCUAACGCUGGCGGCGUGCCUAACACAUGCAAGUCGAACGCUCCAGCAAUGGAGAGUGGCAGACGGGUGAGUAACGCGUGGGAACCUUCCCAGUGGUACGGAAUAGCCCAGGGAAACUUGGGGUAAUACCGUAUACGCCCCUCGGGGGAAAGAUUUAUCGCCAUUGGAUGGGCCCGCGUCGGAUUAGCUUGUUGGUGAGGUAAAAGCUCACCAAGGCGACGAUCCGUAGCUGGUCUGAGAGGAUGAUCAGCCACACUGGGACUGAGACACGGCCCAGACUCCUACGGGAGGCAGCGGUGGGGAAUAUUGGACAAUGGGCGCAAGCCUGAUCCAGCCAUGCCGCGUGAGUGACGAAGGCCCUAGGGUUGUAAAGCUCUUUUGGCGGGGACGAUAAUGACGGUACCCGCAGAAUAAGCUCCGGCUAACUUCGUG